UAGGGAAUCUUCCACAAUGGACGCAAGUCUGAUGGAGCAACGCCGCGUGAGUGAAGAAGGUUUUCGGAUCGUAAAGCUCUGUUGUUGGUGAAGAAGGAUAGAGGUAGUAACUGGCCUUUAUUUGACGGUAAUCAACCAGAAAGUCACGGCUAACUACGUGCCAGCAGCCGAAGUAAUACGUAGGUGGCAAGCGUUGUCCGGAUUUAUUGGGCGUAAAGCGAGCGCAGGCGGAAGAAUAAGUCUGAUGUGAAAGCCCUCGGCUUAACCGAGGAACUGCAUCGGAAACUGUUUUUCUUGAGUGCAGAAGAGGAGAGUGGAAUUCCAUGUGUAGCGGUGGAAUGCGUAGAUAUAUGGAAGAACACCAGUGGCGAAGGCGACUCUCUGGUCUGCAACUGACGCUGAGGCUCGAAAGCAUGGGUAGCGAACAGG
rnacentral:rRNA from 1 species